GGCGAGAUCACCCGCUGAGUUUAAGCAUAUAAAUAAGCGGAGGAAGAGAAACUUACAAGGAUUCCCC
rnacentral:rRNA from 25 species